rnacentral:rRNA from 1 species
AGAACGAACGCUGGCGGCAGGCUUAACACAUGCAAGUCGAACGCUCGUAGCAAUACGGGAGUGGCAGACGGGUGAGUAACGCGUGGGAACAUACCCUCCGGUUCGGAAUAGCUCAGGGAAACUUGGAUUAAUACCGGAUACGGCUGAGAGGCGAAAGAUUUAUCGCCGGAGGAUUGGCCCGCGUUCGAUUAGCUUGUUGGUGAGGUAACGGCUCACCAAGGCGAUGAUCGAUAGCUGGUCUGAGAGGAUGAUCAGCCACAUUGGGACUGAGACACGGCCCAAACUCCUACGGGAGGCAGCAGUGGGGAAUAUUGGACAAUGGGCGCAAGCCUGAUCCAGCCAUGCCGCGUGAGUGAUGACGGCCUUAGGGUUGUAAAGCUCUUUCGCUCGGGACGAUAAUGACGGUACCGAGAUAAGAAGCCCCGGCUAACUUCGCGCCAGCAGCCGAC